CAUUUCCCCCCUCGGCGCUGUUCUCUCUUCUUUCUUCUCGUCUCCUUUCCUCAUUCUGGCCAGGUAACCACCAAGGCCACUGUGGCCUUCCACCGCUCACGGGCUCCGAGAAGGAGACAAUAACGUUCCAAAUCCAUCUAUUUCAAAACCCAAACCCCAAAAAUGACCCUAAAAUGCUCACCUCUCUGACCCCAAAUAAACCAAAAACAAAAGGGCAUUUAGAGGCUACCUCCGACCGACAAAGAUCUCUUCUCCCUCCGGCGUAGACGAUGACCAAACGUUCGAGCAGGGUAAGGUUUUUCUUUUGGGACCGAUUUCUUCUCCUUCUUUUUUGGUUGCUGGUUAUCGCCUGUUAAUGCUCUCUCUCUGGUUUUUCCAUGGUUUUCUUUUUUUUGCACUGGCUAUGGAUGAUAAAAAAUGGCUCCCCUUUUUGUGCUUUUCGAAUGGUUCCCCCUCAUGACUCCGAAGAGAUCCGAUGACUUUCAGGUCGUUGGAGGUUAUUUUUGCCCUUGCCACAAGCAUUUCAGUUGCAAGGCUCUUGGCAGAGGACAAUCAUCAGUGGGGACCAGCUGACGUGGAGGCUUUCAUCGUUGCAAGGAGAGCUGGAAAUGCAAAGGGGCUUAUGGUUCUGAUGAAAUUUAUAAAAUGAUUGUUUUUUAGAUUCAAAUUUUCUAAAGGGGAUAGUGUAGGGAUCGUGAGACGAGUGAAGCAAGAGUUUAAGGCAUGGACCCAUCCAUCGUCAUGGGAUUGGUAAGGUAAGUAAAAUAUUCUUAUGUUGAUGGAUAAAGGUGUCAUGAAAUAUUUAGCAAGAUGUGUAGACUUUUCGUUAUAAGAGUAAAAUGUUAAGCUAGUAUAAGGCUCCUUGAGAUGAGAUAUGCUGUGAAAUUGAAUUGUUGGCCUGAUAAUAAUCGAUUGAUUUGAUUGGGUGAUUGAGUUAAAUAUCAUCCUAGUAUUUGUAUCACAGAGGUAAUUGAGAGGUUUUGAGUCUAUUCAUUUAUUUCAUGAAUAUCUGAGAGUAGUUGAGUGAUUGUAUCUAUAAGGAUCUGUGUUUAAAAAAGCGCUGCUUAAGCGCGAUUAAAGCGCUAAGCGACUCGAGCGAGGCCCCUGGCGCUUCAGCAUAGCAAAAGCGCUACGAAUUCGUUAAGCGGUAGUAAUCGGCGCUUUUGCAGCGCUUUUAGCAAAGCGCUAAUCGGCGCUUAAUUGCGAGUUUAGAAGAUACGAAUAUGGGGUUUAGCAUAUACAAUUUUUGGGCUUGUUUAGGGUUUAGCGGGCUAUUAGAUUAUCAGGCUUAGAUCGGUUUUUAGUUUAGGCGGGGUAGGGUAAAAAAUGCGAUUGAAAUAGGCGGUAAUUGAAGAAUUUACAGAGAACGAUUGAGGUUGAGCGGUAAAAAAUUCACAGAGAGCGAUCAUCUUCCACGCCUGUCGCCUAUGGCCUCGUGCUCCCGACUCCCGACUCACGACUCAAGUUUUGAUCUUCAUCUUCCUCUCAUCUCACUCGAGUCACGCUGCUGCUACACUUCAUCAACCGCGAGCGCUUUCGCUUAGCGCUUCGGCAUCUAGGACCCUAGGCGCUUUAGGGCGCUUUACGCUUUUUAAAGCCAAGAUAAGGAUUGAUUCUCGGUUUGGUUGUUGUUGGUAGAGUGUUCCCCGAUUUUUCAUUUAAGAUUGAACGCUUGUAAUAGGAGUAUAUGCAAACUUUACAAAUCCGAUGUCCUAACUGUGAUUUGAUCAGUUAACAGAUACUUCCCUUUAUGUUGUUUUAUUGUGUAUUGAUAAAUCAGAUAUUUGCAUGAUUUUU